rnacentral:rRNA from 1 species
AGUGAACGCUGGCGGUAGGCCUAACACAUGCAAGUCGAACGGCAGCACAGUAAGAGCUUGCUCUUACGGGUGGCGAGUGGCGGACGGGUGAGGAAUACAUCGGAAUCUACUUUUUCGUGGGGGAUAACGUAGGGAAACUUACGCUAAUACCGCAUACGACCUACGGGUGAAAGCAGGGGAUCUUCGGACCUUGCGCGAUUGAAUGAGCCGAUGUCGGAUUAGCUAGUUGGCGGGGUAAAGGCCCACCAAGGCGACGCUCCGUAGCUGGUCUGAGAGGAUGAUCAGCCACACUGGAACUAAGACACGGUCCAAAAUCCUACGGGAGGCAGCAGUGGGAAAUAUUGGACAAUGGGCGCAAGCCUGAUCCAGCCAUACCGCGGAGGUGAAGAAGGCCUUCGGGUUGUAAAGCCAUUUUGUUGGGAAAGAAAAGCAGCAGGUUAAUACCCCGCUGUUCUGACGGUACCCAAAGAAUAAGCACCGGCAAACUUCGU